UCACCGUCCAACCUGGAUCUUCUCAAAGCUCUGGGAAAGUCAGAAAAGGAUGCACUUGCUACCGAAGGAACUGUUAGGGAGAUGCCAGUCCUAGG